CAUCACUGACGCAUAUCCGGUCCCGGUGCAGUCUCUGCCCCGGGCGCAAGAAGGGAACGCAGUGCGGCACGGGCCAUUCGGUCACGGCCAAUUCUGCGACUGCCCCCGCAACUGUAAGCGGCGAGCAACGGCUGAUCGUGCCACUGGAGCAAUCCGGGAAGGCCAGCCCGCGCGAUGACCCGCAAGUCAGGAGACCUGCCGGAUACGCGCCCCUGGAA
rnacentral:ncRNA from 22 species